UGGUGAACCAGCGGAGGGAUCAUUACAGAGUUAUCUAACUCCCAAACCCAUGUGAACUUACCAUUUGUUGCCUCGGCAGAGCCUACCUGGUACCUAUUUCGGAGCAGCUACCCUGUAGCUACCCUGUAACGGGCUACCCUGUAACGUCCUGCCGGUGGACCUUUAAACUCUUGUUAUUUUAUAGUAAUCUGAGCGUCUUAUUUUAAUAAGUCAAAACUUUCAACAACGGAUCUCUUGGUUCUGG
rnacentral:misc_RNA from 1 species